UGUGUGUGUGUGUGUGUGUGUGUGUGUGUGUGUGCAUGCUCUCUCACUCACUCACUCACUCACCCACACCCACACCCACCCACC